rnacentral:miRNA from 10 species
AGAUAUUAGGUUGGUACAAAAGUAAUGUAGUUUUUGCAAUUAAAUGGCAAAACUAUAAUUACUUUUGCACCAAUCUAUAAU